GAAUCGGUGGUGUAGUGGUAGAGCACGCGUCCCCGGUAUGAAUGAAACGCGGGUUCGAUUCUUGGCUGAAUCU